rnacentral:rRNA from 1 species
GUGGAAGGGAAACACCCGGUCCCAUUCCGAACCCGGUCGUUAAGCCUUCCAACGCUGAUGGUACUGCACGAGGGAUCGUGUGGGAGAGUAAGA